GAAAAACAGUUUGCUCUCAUCUCUCUCUCAACGAAAGCAAAAGGGCUCUAUUAGGGCAUAAGUCCCCCUCCUUACCAGCUAGCUCCAAUCUGCUUCGUACUCUUGGCUCCGUAGCUUGCUUCAGUGCCCUAUUGUCUUAGUGGGUUACCAUUCCUUGUGCUAGUGUCUAAAAAGCUUGUUAUGUUACUAUUACAUUUUCCCUUUCGCGAUGAUCAUCCUUGGUGGGAGCAGAUGGAGGAAAUUCUGGGAGUAAGCCUGGUGGUAGCAGUGGUGCAGCUUAGGGGACCUGUUUGUGUGCCUCUCAGGAGUAUUCUAUGGCCCUAGUGCCUAUUGAAAUCUCUCGCUCUAGGAGUUCUUCUUUUGUUUAUCUGUGAACCUUGUUGUUUCUGUUUGGGCUAUGACAUGAUUAUAUGCCUAGAAACCCUUGCACGUACA